GGGCGUGUGGUCUAGUGGUAUGAUUCUCGCUUUGGGCGACUUCCUGAAUAAACAGGAAGACAGAGCAUGCGAGAGGCCCUGGGUUCAAUUCCCAGCUCGCCCC
rnacentral:tRNA from 1 species